rnacentral:lncRNA from 1 species
UGGCGUGACUAAUUGGUGGUGGUGGCGUGACAAAUCAUUGAUCUCCUCGUUGCCGGUGGCAGAGCGUGAAGGAGGAGCAGAAAAGCUUGAUGGUGGAGGACGAGACAAGACGUGGUCAAGCUGGACUGGUGGUGCUGUUAAACAAAAAAGUGCAAAAACCUAUACCUAUGACCACACCAACUUUGACCAUAAUAAACCUACUUUACCGCUUAAAGCAUCGUUGGACUGGUGGUGCUGUUAGACAAAGAAGUCGCCGGAGUGACCACACCAACUUUGACCAUAACCAAAAAAUGUGCAAAAACCUAUCCCUAUGACCACACCGACUUUGACCAUAAUAAACCUACUUUACCGCUUAAAGCAUCGUUGUACUGCUUUCAACGAGAACUGUCCGAUUUUUUCCUAAAAUAUAUUCAUCUAACGGCUAGCAAAUAAUAUGCAUGUUUCAUGUACUACCAAUUUUUGCCCAUUUAAUUGGGACCAGCCCAUGUAACGACAAUCUCCAAGAAAGUUGCUUAACAUCUUUAGACUUAACCAAGGUUAAAAAGUUGUCCAUCAAAAGGGUUUUUUGGGGAGUAAAAGAGUUAAAGUAAGGAAAAAAGUAC